AUUGAACGCUGGCGGCAUGCUUUACACAUGCAAGUCGAACGGCAGCGCGGGCUUCGGCCUGGCGGCGAGUGGCGAACGGGUGAGUAAUGCAUCGGAACGUGCCCAGUAGUGGGGGAUAGCCCGGCGAAAGCCGGAUUAAUACCGCAUACGACCUGAGGGUGAAAGCGGGGGACCGAAAGGCCUCGCGCUAUUGGAGCGGCCGAUGUCGGAUUAGCUAGUUGGUGGGGUAAAGGCUUACCAAGGCGACGAUCCGUAGCUGGUCUGAGAGGACGACCAGCCACACUGGGACUGAGACACGGCCCAGACUCCUACGGGAGGCAGCAGUGGGGAAUUUUGGACAAUGGGGGCAACCCUGAUCCAGCCAUGCCGCGUGCGGGAAGAAGGACUUCGGGUUGUAAACCGCUUUUGUUCGGGAAGAAAUCCUCUGGGCUAAUACCCCGGGGGGAUGACGGUACCGGAAGAAUAAGCACCGGCUAACUACGUG
rnacentral:rRNA from 1 species